AGCUUUUUGAAUCCGUGCUGAAAUUUUGUCAGACACCGACCCAUUAUGGCUGACCAUACUUCCAAGAUAAGUGAAGUU
rfam:Schistosoma mattheei strain Denwood, Zambia genome assembly, scaffold: SMTD_scaffold0010431